rnacentral:rRNA from 1 species
CCUCCUACGGGAGGCAGCAGUGGGGAAUUUUGGACAAUGGGGGCAACCCUGAUCCAGCCAUGCCGCGUGAGUGAAGAAGGCCUUCGGGUUGUAAAGCUCUUUCGGCCGGGAAGAAAUCGUGUGGGCUAAUAUCCUGCAUGGAUGACGGUACCGGACUAAGAAGCACCGGCUAACUACGUGCCAGCAGCCGCGGUAAUACGUAGGGUGCGAGCGUUAAUCGGAAUUACUGGGCGUAAAGCGUGCGCAGGCGGUUUUUUAAGACAGGCGUGAAAUCCCCGGGCUUAACCUGGGAACGGCGCUUGUGACUGGAAGGCUAGAGUACGGCAGAGGGGGGUGGAAUUCCAUGUGUAGCAGUGAAAUGCGUAGAGAUGUGGAGGAACACCGAUGGCGAAGGCAGCCCCCUGGGCCGAUACUGACGCUCAUGCACGAAAGCGUGGGGAGCAAACAGGAUUAGAUACCCUAGUAGUC